rnacentral:rRNA from 1 species
UACGUAGGGUGCGAGCGUUAAUCGGAAUUACUGGGCGUAAAGCGUGCGCAGGCGGUUUUGUAAGCCAGAUGUGAAAUCCCCGGGCUUAACUUGGGAAUUGCGCUUGUGACUGGCGUGCUGGAGUGUGGCAGAGGGAGGUGGAAUUCCACGUGUAGCAGUGAAAUGCGUAGAGAUGUGGAGGAACACCGAUGGCGAAGGCAGCCUCCUGGGCCAGCACUGACGCUCAUGCACGAAAGCGUGGGGAGCAAACAGG